CCGUCCCGCUCCCCGGCCGUGGGGCCGGGCCCGUGGCGCAGCGCCCCGCGGAGGUGCCCGGGCCUCGCCCCGGUGCCCUCUGGCGGCCCCUCGUGCUCCGCGGGCCGCGCCCGCUGCCCUGGCCGCGGCCUCCUCAGAGCCCCCGGGGCCUCCCCUGCGCGGGCAGCGGGGGCGAGGGGCAAAGGCCUCUCUGGAGCGGGGAGGCCGCUGCGCUGCCUGCGGGAGGGCUCGGCCGGCGCCGUGGGGAGCAGGGGAAGAAGGGCGUUAGGGAGGUGCUGGGGCGGGUCCCGGCCGGGGCCGUGGGCAGGAGCAGGCCAGGCCGCUUGGCGCUCUGGGGGCCCGCGCUCCUCCGGCGUUCCCAUAAAGCGUGAGGCCAUGGAGGAAAUCACCGGGAAGAGAACUCCAGCUUAUGAAUGAUCAGGAGGAGAAAUUGGAAGAGUGUUUUGUUCACAAGCCCUGAGCAAGAGUUAGAAUAUGGGACUAAUGGUGGUAAAGUCAAAUACUGGUGAGAGAGACAUGCUGGAAGCUUGAAUGGUUUGCCAAAUCUAGGUUUACUGCAUGUUUGGAAUAGUCUAUGAAGUAUACGCUGUCAGAGCUGAGCUGCUUGAGUUAAGCAGUUAUCAAUUGGGCUGGUUCAGAAAGUAGCCAAACUGUUGCUGUACAAAGAAGCUGGAAACCCAAACUGAGCAAAUUACUCAUGCUCAGGCUGGUUUCCCAGGAGCUAAUAAGAAACAUUAUUUUGCAAGAUGUUUAUGUAUUUAGUGAGAAGAGGGACAGGCACAAAAACUACUUCAGGGUUCUUGCUGGUUAAAGAUAACUUUCUGAAUAUGACCUAUUGAAAUACUUUCCUGCUGAAUCUGUAAGUAAGCAGCUCUGGUGCCUCCGCUCUUGCUCAGAGCUUCCUUGCAGAGAAUCAGAGUGAAGACGACUGAUCAGAAAUCUAUUAUCCAGAAAUCAUCUGGGAAUACUGACCCUGAAACCUGUGGUUAUUUCUACCUUCCAUCUAAUAAGACGGCUUUAUGCAGCAGAAGAGGCAUGAACUUAGGUCACAAAUGGAAUAGAAAGAUCCAAAAAAUUGAAAACUGAAGAAGUAGCAGUGUAUCAGAAAUCUCCUCUGGUUGUAACACUUAAGGAGCAAGAAGCAGAACAAUUCAAAGGGACAAGAGAAGAAAGAGCGCUCUUUAUCUGUUAGUGCUUCAAGGAAGAGAAUUAAUAUAUGAGAAGAAACAUCAACUAGCUGGAAGUCAGCAAGUCAGACGGAGCUCCUGAAUGUAACCUGUGGACUCCAUCCUUGAAGAAAACCUUCGAUCUAGAGGAGACCUGCUGAGUCCCCAGUGAGGCUGUUUUACUGCCAAGCUCAGAAACGUCGUUCUGCUGCUGCUGCUGCCAGAGGCUCCGUCGUCAGAUGAUCGCUGCCGUUCGUCUCAGAGGCCGACUGGCUGGAAGGGAGGAAAACCCCUGGUGCACAGCGUAAGCAGCUGCGUCUGAGAAGAUCUUGUCUGGUAUCUGCACGGUCUUGCUCCUUGAUUGAAAAUGCUUUCUGCUGUUUGCCCUGUGUAUUUCUGCUACUGCCGUUUACACGAGUGAAGAAACGUAGGAGACCGGAGAGGAUAAACUCUCUUUCUCCCUUAGUUGCAAAGAGUGAAGCAGCACAUAAAUGCAGUUAGUUAAUUUUUGAGUAAGUGAGAGUACUAGUUGCAAAGUUGAUGGUGCGCUCAGUAGGGUGGACAGAUGUACACAGCUAAUCUGAACACUAAUUUCAUGGCCGUGAAGGUAUCCAGUAUGUAUUUUUGUCACCCCUUUUUGUUUUUUUUUACAGUCCCUUUAGUUUGUAGACACUCUGUAUAAUAAUUUAGGAAGCUAUGUGCUGCUUUCUUGACUCAGAAAAGAAUUGGACAAAUUCAGAAAGGGGGUUCAGGGAGAAGGAAAUAUUGGGGUCUGUGAUCUGUAAGUACCUACCAAGGAGUGAUGUCUGAUUCCAGGCAGCUCCCGAGUCCCGCAAAAGAUAUAGAAGAUUCAGUAGCUGGAAAUUGAAGAUAAAGAUUUUCAAAAUAAAAUACAGCACAGUAUUUCCAAGGGAUAUGGUAGAUUGUCUAAUUAAAAAUCAAGGCUGAAUAUUUUUGUAAAAUACAUGCUCUAGUCAAACCACAAGUUGCUACACAGUUCAGAAAUUACCAGAUGAAUGAAGUUAUAUGAAAUCACCAGAAGGUUUUUUCCUGACCUUAACAAAUAUGGAAGAAGCUUCUGUGGUUUUAUGUUCAUUGGUUAGCGUUGCUAUAGGAUUUUAAGAGGUCUUCCAUAAAUACUGUCUUUAAAAUACUUCAGGAGUUUCAUUAAAUUAUAUGUUGCCACCUUUUAAACUUGAAAGGAGUGCCAGUAAACAAUUCCAAUGCUAGACAAGAUAAAUCUCUUCAAAAAAGGAUUAAUACACAUACCAUUCCUGCAGCUAAAUUUUGCCGGUCGGCUCCCUGGAUACUACUAUGUAGAAAGAAAGCACAAGUAAUUUCUGUUGAAUGGGUAUUUUUAAAUGGGAAUAAUCUCUUGAAAAGAAAGUUUGUGUUACAGAAAUCCUGCCUCUGCCACCAUUGUAAUAUUGGUAUUUGAUGCCAUCAUUUUCUGCAGAAACAACUUAAUACCUCGGACUUCAGCUGUAUUUCGUUUAACAGGAAUUUCUAGCAAUUAAAAAUGAAUUUAAUAUUUUCCUUGGCCAGGUGUUAGGAAAAUAAAUACUAAAAAUGUUUAUUCCUUCACACAGAAAAGUUCCAACUGGCCACAAAAAAAAAGAAAAGAAAAAAGUUAAAUGGAGAACACGUGGGUAUUAAAACAUAGUCUCGGUUUAUCACUGCUGUCACUACUGUGUUUGCAUUGUCUGCGUGGGUAAGGAAACUGUUUAGGGCAGGGAUCUUGUAGUCACAUCCAUCGAAUAAUUCGGUUUUAGCAUACCUUUGGUGCUAAACAAAUGACAAAAUGACAAUAUGUAAGUUCCUAUGACAGGUGAACUAUAAAAACGAGAGGGAUAGCAUAAGCACAUAUUUUUCCUUGCCAGCUUUUCAGGCAGAAGUGGUAAUUUUAACUCUUUCUCGCGUGAAGCGGGAUGUAGUGUUUCUUCAGUUUCUUGCCUCAUCAGUAGACUUUAAAUUAUUUAUGGAUUUAUAAAUACAGAAAUGUAUUUUUAAUUUAACUUCGGGCAACCACCUGUCUUUUCCAAUAGGAGCUUUAACAACUCCAUUGAACUCAAACAAGCUGGCUUUCGGAGAAAGGAGCAUGGGAUUAAUCUCGGAUCCCCUCCCCUCAAGGAUGCCUGCUGGACCUUUUGGGAUUACAGUCAAGAAGUGCGGGUAAUGCCACGAACUCAGCAGGCUUUGCAAUUUAAUGGGUUUUAAUCAGUGCUGCUCUCGUUAUUAUAGUUUAUUACGUGCAUGGGCAAAACAUGAGAAAACUUUAUAAAUGUCUUUUAUAUACCCUCUAGAUUAUAUGAAAUUGAAACAUAAUUACUCACAUGUAAUGAGGAAUGAACCAAAAUUCAUCAUAGCAUAAGCUGCCUUUCACCCUUUACCUGUCUGUUACUUUCUCUUUUUUGCCUAAUAUUGUGAACGUUUGUUCCUAUUAUCUUUAAAUACACAUGAAGUAGCAAUCAA